AUCACACGCAGGACUAUACACUGAAAGCCACACAAAAAUAUAACUGCGCAGUACGAUUCGGAUUACAAGGAUCAUCCAUUCUUUACUGAUUCCUCAAACAACAUCAUAACCUCGCCAAAAUGACUUUAAUUCAAUGCACGGUUGGUAUUGAGUCUCUAUAAGUUGUUUUGUAACCUACUGUUCCCGGUGACAUCUCCAAACUAUGUAGUGCCUUUAACCACCGUCUUGCAAGCCAAUCAUACUUCUUGUGGAGUUGACAGUUAUUUGAGGAUUUUGAAGGAAUCAAAAUGCAGAGUGCAGUGACCUCUCUUUCAUUCUGUCUCGGAUGGAUACUUUUGAAGUUUACAUUGAUUCUAACGGUGUCAGGACAGGAAUGGUUAGACCCGCUAACGACUUACGUCUCUUCGGGCCGGAACAUUUCUCUGAGAUGCGCGUUCAUCGUUAUGCCAGCCUCUAGCAAUGCCUCUCAGCCAAUGAACGCGUCCAACGCGAUCACGUGGUCAGAUUCAGGAACGCCAAUAUUUUCGGAGACAAUCCGGUUGACGCAAAAAGCAAAGUACGACAAUUUUCACACCAGUGUUCGGGCCAAUGAAGAAUUCGUCGAAUCUAUUUUACAUAUCACCCUGGCUGGCCAAGAAGAUGAAGGAAUGUUUACGUGUAUCCAUGGAGAUGAUUCGGGAAAUGUGACGUCACAAAUGGCCAAUCUGUAUGUAGAAGGUUUGUACCGAAAAAAAGCGAAGUGCCAACUGCAACGUUUGGCGGGGGGGGGGGGGGGGGGGGGGUGGCACACUCCAAGAGAAUAUAAACAUCCUCUACCUCCCUCAAUGGCUAGCAUGUUGUUAAUCAUAGUUUAGGUUUUGAACUGCUAGAUUUUUAUGCUGAGUUUUUCCAUGGGAAGCGGGAAUGCUGAAGCACCCCAAGAUUAUCCGGGGGGGGGGGGGGGGGGGCUGCGUGUAUUAUUUCCAUAUGCAGCACCCCCUGGAAUUGUGGUAGAUAUGACAAAAUGGAGAAUUGUAAUCCCUUUUUUGCUUGUCAAAAUUCUCUCCCAAAAUGACCUUCCCUUUUUUUUUUAUAGCGACCCCCUUUUUUUGCUUGUCAAAUUUACAUCAGCACCCCCUUUAAAUAUCGUUCCCAGAGCCCUGCCAUCGAAAGAUCAAAAUAUUCCCUCUCCGGAGCUUUCCUCCUUUGAAAACAAACAAGCAAGCAAUUGUAAUUAAUAUUCCUAUUGGUCGGACUGUCACAUAUAGUAUUGUAGUCUUAUGGUUAGAGCAGUUUCUACAUCAAUGGUUAGAGCAUUGGACUCAUAAUCGCAAGGUUGUGAGUUCGAAUCCCCAUUCUGCCAUUGUCUCCACUCUAAUAAAAACGCCCGAGAGUAAGAUCUGUCGUCUAUAAGGUCAGCUACUGAUUAACCUAGACAUAAAAAAUGUUUACUAGGUAAUUGCACCAUUACAUAAAUAAAGGAAAACCCGGACGAUCUCAGGUUAGGGGUGAAGGUAGUUUAUUACCGUGACCGAGUCAACCAUGAAGUAUGGAACGCCAUACAAAUCACAAACAAUUAACACGUAGUGGCGUGACCACUUUUUCUCCUUCCCGUGAUUAUUUGAGGACAUACGUUUUAUAUACACAAAUCCAGAAACUUAUACAACCCAAGAACUGACAGCCAACUAUUGAAUUAAAACUUAAUACAACUCUACGCCUACAUGGCAAUAUAUACAUUUACUCAUUAACUGAAUCAAACUGAGCAACCACUUCAACCUUACUUUUCCUUCUGCAAGUACGAACUGUACUACCAUCUUUGAAAAGUAAACUAAGACAACUGCUAAUCAAAUAGCUUCUUGACAUAAAUAAAUGGGUUUCAAAUAACAACCUAAGAUGCACAUUGAUUGGCAAUAUUUGGUAACACACCUAAACUCUAUAUCUGGCUUGAACUUAUACUCAAUUUAUAGAUUAUACAACUUAAAGCUAGAUGAACGUAGUUGCAGUAAGACACUGAUUUCGUGAGAAAGUCUGUAAAACCAAGGUAAAGUAUUGAUAUAUCAUCGUGGAUCUAGAUCUGGUACAGUUACAUAAACUGAACUUUGUGAAAUCAUAAUAUCUAGCUAAAAAACGAUCACACUGAAGAUCGCCAACACAGAUAGGCACACGUGGGACAGUGUAUUAUUAUUGCUGGAAUAAAGACCCGACGGAAGUGACCGAAUCCGCGCUUAUUAUGCUUAUUUCUCAGCAAUUACACAAUUUCUUCCAGAAUCCUUUGGCACAUAUUUUUUAUUCAUACAAACAGACACUUUGGUGAUCAUUAUAUUAAAUUCUGUAAAAAGUCAUUUUGAGACCGUUCCCAAAACUGGAAUUUACCUUGACUGUUUCUAGUUCACAAAUUUACUAUGCCUAACCUAUUACAUAAACCAAUCCGCCAAGUUGGUAUAAGAUUACAGUCAAUUAUUAAUGCCCAGAAAUGGUACAUAAACAAUAUCAAGAAGCAUAUCAUUAGUUAAACAAAAUACAUACAAGCCUAGAUGUCAAACAAAAUAUAAAUACAUGUAUGAACUACUAAACAAUCAAAAUACACAAGUCACCUUUCUCUCUACCAUCGCCAAAAGAAAAGAUCCGUACACUUUAGACAAGUUAUUUAAAACAUACAUGAAUAAAAUAAAAAGCCCGCAGAAAGACCUACAAACAUUUGAUAAUCAAUUUCCAUGUGAUCAAAUAUAUAUAUAUUUACUUAAAACAAUAAUAAGAAAAAAUCUAAGACAAACAUACGCAUGUCAAAAAGGAGACACAAAGUAAAAUAGCAAAUAAACACAAUUAACCAGUAAAAAAAUAACUGCGCAGAUUUCAGUGAAUUGACUGGAAAAAGAAAUCACUAUUAUGAUACUAAUUGUGCUUAAACAAAAUUAAUCACUACACUCUGCAUAGAGGGCACCAUGCUAAAAAACAUGUAAAAGACUGUAUCUGAAAAGAACAAAGUGGAAAUAACAGAUACCGUCAACACCAACAACAUAUAACAUCAUGAAAGUCAUGUCAUAAAUGUAAGUGGAUUACAUAGCCAGUGUCAUAAAGGCAGAUACAAUUUAUGUAGGAACCAUAUCAAUAUUCUCAGUCAAAGAGACAUGAUAAAAAGGAUAAUGUUAUCACAGUUAUC